GUGAGGAAUAUUGGUCAAUGGACGAGAGUCUGAACCAGCCAAGUCGCGUGAAGGAAGACGGUUCUAUGAAUUGUAAACUUCUUUUGUGCAGGAAUAAAGUGGGUUACGUGUAACCUUUUGUAUGUACUGUACGAAUAAGGAUCGGCUAACUCCGUGCCAGCAGCCGCGGUAAUACGGAGGAUCCGAGCGUUAUCCGGAUUUAUUGGGUUUAAAGGGUGCGUAGGUGGAUUGAUAAGUCAGCGGUGAAAGUUUGCAGCUUAACUGUAAAAUUGCCGUUGAAACUGUCGGUCUUGAGUGCAAAUGAGGUAGGCGGAAUGUGUUGUGUAGCGGUGAAAUGCUUAGAUAUAACACAGAACUCCGAUUGCGAAGGCAGCUUACUGGGAUGCAACUGACACUGAUGCACGAAAGCGUGGGUAACAAACAGGAUUAGAAACCCCGGUAGUCC
rnacentral:rRNA from 1 species